UGGGGAAUUUUGGACAAUGGGGGCAACCCUGAUCCAGCCAUUCCGCGUGAGUGAAGAAGGCCUUCGGGUUGUAAAGCUCUUUCAGCAGGAACGAAACGGUCGGCUUUAAUAAAGUCGGCUAAUGACGGUACCUGCAGAAGAAGCACCGGCUAACUACGUGCCAGCAGCCGCGGUAAUACGUAGGGUGCGAGCGUUAAUCGGAAUUACUGGGCGUAAAGCGUGCGCAGGCGGCGACAUAAGACAGAUGUGAAAUCCCCGGGCUCAACCUGGGAACUGCGUUUGUGACUGUGUUGCUAGAGUGUAGCAGAGGGGGGUGGAAUUCCACGUGUAGCAGUGAAAUGCGUAGAGAUGUGGAGGAACACCGAUGGCGAAGGCAGCCCCCUGGGUUAACACUGACGCUCAUGCACGAAAGCGUGGGGAGCAAACAGGAUUAGAUACCCUAGUAGUCCCUGAGCGGGCUGGCAAGGCGCAU
rnacentral:rRNA from 1 species